rnacentral:rRNA from 1 species
CCUACGGGAGGCAGCAGUGGGGAAUCUUGCGCAAUGGCCGAGAGGCUGACGCAGCGACGCCGCGUGGGGGAUGAAGCAUUUCGGUGUGUAAACCCCUGUUGCUCGGGACGAACGACCCUUUUCGAGGGGUGUGACGGUACCGAGUGAGGAAGCACCGGCUAACUCCGUGCCAGCAGCCGCGGUAAUACGGAGGGUGCGAGCGUUGUCCGGAAUCACUGGGCGUAAAGGGCGCGUAGGUGGUUGGAUGCGCCGGUGGUGAAAGCGCAGGGCUCAACCCUGCGUCGGCCAUCGGGACGGUCCGACUGGAGCACUGUAGAGGCAGGUGGAAUUCCGGGUGUAGCGGUGGAAUGCGUAGAGAUCCGGAAGAACACCGGUGGCGAAGGCGGCCUGCUGGGCAGUUGCUGACACUGAGGCGCGACAGCGUGGGGAGCAAACAGGAUUAGAUACCCUGGUAGUCCACGCCGUAAACGAUGGGCACUAGGUGCUUGGGGGAGCGACCCCCUGAGUGCCGACGCUAACGCAUUAAGUGCCCCGCCUGGGGAGUACGACCGCAAGGUUGAACUUAAAGGAAUUGACGG